rnacentral:rRNA from 1 species
GUGGGGAAUAUUGGGCAAUGGGCGAAAGCCUGACCCAGCAACGCCGCGUGAAGGAAGAAGGUCUUCGGAUCGUAAACUUCUAUCCUUGGUGAAGAUAAUGACGGUAGCCGAGAAGGAAGCCCCGGCUAACUACGUGCCAGCAGCCGCGGUAAUACGGAGGGGGCAAGCGUGGUCCGGAAUGAUUGGGCGUAAAGGGCGCGUAGGCGGCCUGGUAAGUCUGGAGUGAAAGUCCUGCUUUUAAGGUGGGAAUUGCUUUGGAGACUGUCGGGCUUGAGUGCAGGAGAGGUAAGUGGAAUUCCCGGUGUAGCGGUGAAAUGCGUAGAGAUCGGGAGGAACACCAGUGGCGAAGGCGACUUACUGGACUGUAACUGACGCUGAGGCGCGAAAGUGUGGGGAGCAAACAGGAUUAGAAACCCCGGUAGUCC